rnacentral:rRNA from 1 species
UUCCGGUUGAUCCUGCCGGACCUGACUGCUAUCGGAUUGAUACUAAGCCAUGCGAGUCUUUGCAGUAAUGCAAGGCAUACGGCUCAGUAACACGUAGUCAACUUACCCUAUGGACGAGGAUAAUCUCGGGAAACUGAGCAUAAUACUCGAUAGAUCAUAAUGCCUGGAAUGGUUUAUGGUUGAAAUGAUUCGUCGCCAUAGGAUGGGACUGCGGCCUAUCAGCUUGUUGGUGAGGUAAUGGCCCACCAAGGCGAUUACAGGUACGGGCUCUGAGAGGAGAAGCCCGGAGAUGGGUACUGAGACACGGACCCAGGCCCUAUGGGGCGCAGCAGGCGAGAAAACUUUGCAAUGUGCGAAAGCACGACAAGGUUAAUCCGAGUGAUUUCUGCUAAAGAAAUCUUUUACCAGUCGUAAAACCGCUGGUGAAUAAGGGGUGGGCAAGUUCUGGUGUCAGCCGCCGCGGUAAAACCAGCACCUCAAGUGGUCAGGAUGAUUAUUGGGCCUAAAGCAUCCGUAGCCGGCUUUGUAAGUUUUCGGUUAAAUCCAUGUGCUCAACACAUGGGCUGCCGAAAAUACUGCAUAGCUAGGGAGUGGAAGAGGUAGACGGUACUCAGUAGGUAGGGGUAAAAUCCUUUGAUCUAUUGAUGACCACCUGUGGCGAAGGCGGUCUACCAGAACACGUUCGACGGUGAGGGAUGAAAGCUGGGGGAGCAAACCGGAUUAGAUACCCGGGUAGUCCCAGCUGUAAACGAUGCAGACUCGAUGAUGCAUUGGCAUAAUAGCCAUUGCAGUGUCGCAGGGAAGCCGUUAAGUCUGCCGCCUGGGAAGUACGUACGCAAGUAUGAAACUUAAAGGAAUUGGCGGGGGAGCACCACAAGGGGUGAAGCCUGCGGUUCAAUUGGAUUCAACGCCGGG